GGCGCGCGCCCCUCUCGGCCGCCGCCAUCUUGGUGCUUCCCCGGCGCCGCCGCCGCCAUCCGGCUCCAUCCGCCGCCAUCCGCCGCCCCCCGCCCGCCGGGACUGAGCGGGGCUCCGCCGGAACGCCAUGAGGGCCAAGUGGCGUAAGAAGCGAAUGCGCAGGCUGAAGCGCAAGAGGAGGAAGAUGAGGCAGAGGUCCAAGUAACGGCCGGUACCGGGGGCACGGCCCGGAGACGCCCCCGGUGCCCCGGGGCUGUCCCGGUGCCCUCCCGGUGCCCCGGGGCCGUCCCGUUCUUUGCUUUGCGGCAAAAUAAAAUUCGGUUGUUGCUAAAA